rnacentral:lncRNA from 1 species
CACACCAGGUCGGGAGCUGGAAAAGUCCUGGAAGGGUCAGUCUUUUACAAACUUCGGCUGGGGAUAUUUUAUACCCAACACAAACCUUUCGAUGCUUCAUUUGCAUCAUGCUUCAAACUUACAAAGUAGCUCUUACAAUACUUCUUCCAGUGCCCCUACUUACCACAAUGAUAACAGGCACCAUUUAUGAAGUCCUUGUUCACUU